AGUUUGAUCAUGGCUCAGGAUGAACGCUGGCGGCAGGCCUAACACAUGCAAGUCGAGCGGUAGAGAGGUGCUUGCACCUCUUGAGAGCGGCGGACGGGUGAGUAAUGCCUAGGAAUCUGCCUGGUAGUGGGGGAUAACGCUCGGAAACGGACGCUAAUACCGCAUACGUCCUACGGGAGAAAGCAGGGGACCUUCGGGCCUUGCGCUAUCAGAUGAGCCUAGGUCGGAUUAGCUAGUUGGUGAGGUAAUGGCUCACCAAGGCGACGAUCCGUAACUGGUCUGAGAGGAUGAUCAGUCACACUGGAACUGAGACACGGUCCAGACUCCUACGGGAGGCAGCAGUGGGGAAUAUUGGACAAUGGGCGAAAGCCUGAUCCAGCCAUGCCGCGUGUGUGAAGAAGGUCUUCGGAUUGUAAAGCACUUUAAGUUGGGAGGAAGGGCAGUAAAUUAAUACUUUGCUGUUUUGACGUUACCGACAGAAUAAGCACCGGCUAACUCUGUGCCAGCAGCCGCGGUAAUACGAAUCACUAGUGAAUUCGCGGCCGCCUGCAGGUCGACCAUAUGGG
rnacentral:rRNA from 1 species